rnacentral:lncRNA from 1 species
CCCCACUCUAUGGUUUAAAACUUUAAAUAUCCCCACGUUCUAUUAUAAAAAAAAUUCAAUGAUAAGUGUGAGUAUUAGAAUAGUACUCAUUCUAAUAAAAAAGAACAGUAAUAUAAGUCAACUCAAUACCCACUUCUCUCAUUAUUGUAUAUGGGCUGUGCUUAAAAAAUAAUAUAUGGGCCUAAAAAAAAGAACCCAAUGGCCUUGAAAUAAAACCACCAAUUGAGACAAGUCAUACAACCCUAAUAAUCAUUAUUAUUCUUGUAGCCGCCUACCACUUCUUCUGGUCCAUCAGUUUUCUUCUUCACUUUUCUCUUCCCUGUUUCUACUUCUGUUCCCAUAACAUACAUUAUUAUACUUAUGAGAAGUAAUAAAAUCAUCAUGAAACAAAGAGAAUUUUGACUCUAAAAUUACAAGAUUAAUCUAUGUUACAGUUUUAAUCUUCACUUUCUUUGUUUCUAUUUAAUUUCUUCUAGAUCUGUUCAGUUUCAUAUAUUGUUCUUUUUUUAGAAAACUGAAAAAUUCUUCUAAAUCUUCACUUCCUUUGUUCAUUUUCUAUUUAAUUUCUUCUCCAUGUUUUGACCGUAAAAAUGUUUGGGUUAUACUUUUUUUUUUUUUUUUUUAAAUAUGCAUUUAAACCGG